rnacentral:rRNA from 1 species
GUGGGGAAUAUUGGACAAUGGGCGCAAGCCUGAUCCAGCCAUGCCGCGUGAGUGAUGAAGGCCUUAGGGUUGUAUAGCUCUUUCGCCCGCGAAGAUAAUGACGGUAGCGGGAGAAGAAGCCCCGGCUAACUUCGUGCCAGCAGCCGCGGUAAUACGAAGGGGGCUAGCGUUGUUCGGAAUCACUGGGCGUAAAGCGCACGUAGGCGGACGUUUAAGUCAGAGGUGAAAGCCUGGAGCUCAACUUCAGAACUGCCUUUGAUACUGAACGUCUAGAGUCCGGGAGAGGUGAGUGGAACUGCUAGUGUAGAGGUGAAAUUCGUAGAUAUUAGCAAGAACACCAGUGGCGAAGGCGGCUACCUGGUCGAGUACUGACACUGAGACACGAAAGCAUGGGGAUCAAACAGGAUUAGAAACCCGGGUAGUCC